rnacentral:rRNA from 1 species
ACAAUGGAGAGUUUGAUCCUGGCUCAGGAUGAACGCUAGCGGCAGGCCUAAUACAUGCAAGUCGAACGGUAACAUGAGAGCUUGCUCUUGAUGACGAGUGGCGCACGGGUGCGUAACG